rnacentral:rRNA from 1 species
UACGGAGGGUGCGAGCGUUGUCCGGAAUCACUGGGCGUAAAGGGCGCGUAGGCGGCGCGGUGAGUCAACGGUGAAAGCUCGGCGCUCAACGCCGAGUCGGCCGUCGAUACUCCCGUGCUUGAGCACUGUAGAGGCAGGUGGAAUUCCGGGUGUAGCGGUGGAAUGCGUAGAGAUCCGGAAGAACACCGGUGGCGAAGGCGGCCUGCUGGGCAGUAGCUGACGCUGAGGCGCGACAGCGUGGGGAGCGAACAGG